ACUUGGGGUACCAUAACCCUAAAAAUAUCAAAUCGUGUCUAGCCAUGGAAACUAAGCAGGGUCAGCUCUGGUUAGUACUUUAAUAGGAGACUGCCAGUGAAUGCCAGGUGCUGAAGGUU
rnacentral:rRNA from 11 species